CCUCCAUGCUCCUGUACUCUCUGUCACGUGAAAACGGCUCACUCUUUUUCACUGUACUCUCUCAAUCUCAAACCCUUCACUGAUUGUAUUACCUCGACUAUGGAAUUGAUCGGUGCUUUUUGUUGUGGCCUUAUCCAUAAUCCCAAGUUUGCAACCCACGGUGCCCUGGAGACGAGCCUUGUUCUUCUAGCUUCCUUUGACACAAGAAAUGCAGCAGAAUAGCACAGACAAUGAAGUAGUUCAUGAGCAAUGUAAUCAUGAACUGAUGAUACAGUGAAAAAUUGUUUACCCUGAUAUCUUAACCACGUGGGUAAAUCAUUUAAGCCAUGAGAGGUUGCAGGAACACUGUCCUUCUGCAAUGGACUUUAUCAUGUGGCAUACUCUUAGUAGAUCUGAUAACAACGCUGAGGCGCUACCUUCCAGUGCUUGAAGUUCGUGAAAAGAUGAGGGGAUGGACUGUGCUUGUGCAAGUGGUUGAGGCUGGAGAUGUGCAGCUUACUUGUGAAACACCACCAAGGAACAUUAUGCACUCCCUCUUGACAGAUUCUUAGGGAACUACAGUUUCAGCAGCCAUACAUGGCAGCGAUAUUCGCUACUUUGCUGCAACCAUUUAAGAGAUAUUACAUCUCUAAUGCUUCUGUUAAACUACAAGAACCAAAAUACCAAGUUAGUGACUAUACCUGCUCUUGGGUGAUCAACAAUUACACUCUGGUGGAAUAGCAUCUUGAACCAAUUCCUCCAAAUCUUCCGUGCACCUUCCAGCUGAAGAGAUUCUCUGAUUUCUUCAGAUAUGCAGAUCAAGACAACCUGCAGGAUGUACAAGCUGUUGUCAUCCAUGCUUUUCCUGCAAAGGAACAUGGACUAAUUUCACAAGAGAUUCCAUCAUUGUUGAUCAAGAGGGAAAUAUGAUGGCGCUUACUCUGUGGAAUGAGUUCAAACAGAAUGAGGGAACUCUACUUGCAAAUACAAUUGCAAAUGGCAAUGUUCUUAUUGCUAUGAGGCUGAAAGUUACCACUUUCGGCUGUGAGUUAAAUCUUCAA